UAUACACUGUAAAGUGGUUGGCAUUAGGAAGGGCAUCCAACCUUGGAAACUAUGCCAAGGUAGACACUGGAGUACACUGCAGUCUUUGU